UACCAAAAACACAGGUUUGUGCUAAAUCGAAAGAUGACGUAUACGAGCUGACGCCUGCCCGGUGCUGGAAGGUUAAAAGGAGAUGUGCAAGCAUUGAAUUGAAGCCCCAGUGAACGGCGGCCGUAACUAUAACGGUCCUAAGGUAGCGAAAUUCCUUGUCAGGUAAGUUCUGACCCGCAUGAAAGGCGUAAUGAUCUGGGCACUGUCUCAACAGCCCGCCCGGCGAAAUUGUAGUACCGGUGAAGAUGCCGGUUACCCGCGACAAGACGGAAAGACCCCAUGGAGCUUUACUGUAGCCUGAUAUUGGGUUUCGGUGUUGCAUGCACAGGAUAGAUGGGACGCUGGGAAAGAAGCGCUUUGGCGUUUCUGGAGCGGACGUUGGGAUACCAUCCUUGCGACAUUGGAAUUCUAACCUGCGCCUCUGAAUCGAGGCGGGGGACAUUGUCAGGUGGGCAGUUUGACUGGGGCGGUCGCCUCCUAAAAAGUAGCGGAGGCGUUCAAAGGUUCGUUCGAUCUGGACGGAAACCAGAUGAUUGAGUGCAAACGCAUAAACGAGCCUGACUGCGAGACUGACGGGUCGAGCAGAGACGAAAGUCGGAGUUAGUGAUCCGGUGGUAUGUGAGUGGAAAUGCCAUCGCUCAACGGAUAAAAGUUACCCUGGGGAUAACAGGCUGAUCUCCCCCAAGAGUCCACAUCGACGGGGAGGUUUGGCACCUCGAUGUCGGCUCAUCGCAUCCUGGGGCUGAAUUCGGUCCCAAGGGUUUGGCUGUUCGCCAAUUAAAGCGGUACGCGAGCUGGGUUCAGAACGUCGUGAGACAGUUCGGUCCCUAUCUGUCGUGGGCGCAGGAUAUUUGAAAGGCGCUGUCCCUAGUACGAGAGGACCGGGAUGGACGAACCUCUGGUGCACCAGUUGUCACGCCAGUGGCACAGCUGGGCAGCUAUGUUCGGAUCGGAUAAACGCUGAAAGCAUCUAAGCGUGAAGCCGGCCUUAAGAUAAGAUAUCCCACUGAGUCAAUCAGGUAAGACCCCUUGAAGACUACAAGGUUGAUAGGCACACAGUGUAAGCGGAGUGAUCCGUUCAGCUAGCGUGUACUAAUAGGUCGAGGGCUUGACCC
rnacentral:rRNA from 1 species